rnacentral:tRNA from 1 species
GUUUUUGUAGUUGAAUUACAACGGUGGUUUUUCGUAUCAUUGGUCUUAGUUAAAGUCUAGGCAGAAAUU